AAUCAACGCUGGCGGCGUGCCUCAGACAUGCAAGUCGAACGAUUAAAGCUCCCUUCGGGGAGUGCAUAGAGUGGCGCACGGGUGAGUAACACGUAAGUAAUCUACCCUCGGGUGGGGAAUAACGUUCGGAAACGGACGCUAAUACCGCAUAAUGCAGCGGCACCGCAAGGUGACAGUUGUUAAAGAUUUAUUGCCUGGGGAGGAGCUUGCGGCAGAUUAGCUUGUUGGUAAGGUAACGGCUUACCAAGGCUACGAUCUGUAUCCGGUCUAAGAGGACGGUCGGACACACUGACACUGAAUAACGGGUCAGACUCCUACGGGAGGCAGCAGUCGGGAAUUUUGGGCAAUGGGGGAAACCCUGACCCAGCAACGCCGCGUGAAGGAUGAAGUAUUUCGGUAUGUAAACUUCGAAAGAAUAGGAAGAAUUAAUGACGGUACUAUUUAUAAGGUCCGGCUAACUACGUGCCAGCAGCCGCU
rnacentral:rRNA from 1 species